rnacentral:misc_RNA from 1 species
GAACGCACCUUGCACUCCUUGGUAUUCCGAGGAGUAUGCCUGUUUGAGUGUCUGUAAAUCAUCAACUCAAUUAAGCUUUUUAAGUGAGAUUGAAUUGGAUUUGGGGACUGCCGUCAUUACCGUCGGCUUCCCUUGAAUGUAUUAGUUGAACUGAGGUACAACGCCAUGUGUAGUGUGAUAAUUAUCUUCACUUCACUGUUGUAAUGACGUUUGGCUUCUAACAGUCCAUUCGGACAAUACUUUGACAUUAGACCUCAAAUCAGGUAGGACUACCCGCUGAACUUAAG